AGAGAGGGGAAGCGCCCAAGGUCACACAGCUGGGAUGUGGCAGAGCUGGGGUUCCAGCUCCUGUUCCCAUUGCUGGACAGCUGCCACAUCUGGCACCCAAUUUAGGACCCCGCGGGGAGGCCCAAGCCCCGGGGGUGGCGGGGGAUCCUAGAGGAAAGUGGCAAGGCCAGGACCCUGGAGCAGAGCCAGAGUAGAAAACUGAGGCUCUGAGAGAUGAAGCUACUUGCCAAGGUCACGCAGCACAGUCACAUCCUACUGAACAUCAUCCUGUUCUCUGGGUGGAAUGUCACCAUCGCCCAGGUGGGGAUUUUUGUGUGUUUUGUUCACUGCUGUACACCCAGCCCCCAGCACAGCGCCUGUCCAGGACAAGUGCCCAGUAAACACUUGGGAAGCAAUGCAAGCGUCCUCCCAGCAGCUCCUGCAAACAGACCCCCGACCCAAGCCCUUCCUUCUGCCUCCACUGCCACCACUGCUGCUCAUCUCUGCUGGCACAGAAGUCUCUUCCCUGGUCUUCCAGAAAUCCCCUCUCCACACUCAGCCAGAGGGAGCUAUUAAAACUGUGGGCCAGCCCACAUCAGUCCACAGCAAAGUCCUCUCUAAGGGAUCUCUGUUGCUUGGAGAAUAAACCCUCGGAUUCCUUCCUUGGCUCUCGGGGCCUCCUCUCUGACCUCCCUCUGUCUCCUCUCCCAGCCUUCCUCCUCACUCACCCUCCAGCCAUGCUGGCUUCCUCCUUGCUCCUGAAACAGCCUGAGGCCCACACUGCCCCGGGCCCUUUGCACUGGCUGUUUCCUCUGCCUGGAACACUUCUCCUAGGCAUCCACAGGGCUCCCUCCCACAACUCCUUCGGGUGCCCACAUGGGAAGCCAUCCCUGACCACCCCCCCGACUUCCUUCUGAGCAAGGUAGGGUCUUUCUACCUAGUCAUGAGGGCAGGGAUUUUUGUCUGUUGUGUUCUCUGUGUGCCCCCAGUGCCAUCCCAGUGCCUGGCAGAUGGUAAGUGCUCGACACACAUUGGCUGACUGCCUGAAUGAACAACUCUAUGAGCCGAUGGCAGAUAAGGACACUGAGGUCCUCUGGGGUAGGUGACCAGCCCAAGGCCACACAGCUGGUCUGAGAUUAGGCCAGGAGAGGAGCCCGGGUUGGUCACAUCCUGGAGUUGGCGUCUUGGAAACUGCAUCAGGAGAAUAACAAAGAUGAGACGCAGGCUCUAACAAGUGGAUACCAGUGACUCUCGCCCCGCCAGCCCCAGCCCUGCAGCCUUGGGCCCUUCCAGGAGUCAUGGUCUGCCUGCCUGGGGCAUUCCAGGCUUCGACCCAGGUCCUGCACUUUCUAUUUUGAGCCUCUUAGUCCUGAGGACUGUGUGUUCCCAGCAGGCGGCGCGGGCCAGAGGCUGAGCCUGGGUGUGGCUGUCACCCUAUCUGGGGCCAGAGACCCAGAUUCCCGGGCCCUUAACCUGUUGGCUGCUGAGGGCUCUGGCAUAAGCCCUGUUCCCUGCUUGAUUGUCUCCCCUUCAAGCCCCUGCCCUGGUAUCGUAUCGGCCCAUCUCACCUUGGAUUAUAUCCCUGUUUGGCCCCAUUUGAAUCCUGGCUCUGCCCCUUUCCAGCAAUGUGACCUUGGGCAAGUCACUUCAUCUCUCUGGGUCUCAGUUUCUUCAUCUGGGAAAUGGGGACAAUAAGAGUACCUGUCUCUGGCCAUGUGUGGUGACUCAUGCCUGUAACCCCAGCGCUUUGGGAAGCCGAGGCGAGAGAAUUGCUUGAGACCAGGAGUUUGAGAUCAGCCCUGGGCAACAUAGUGAGACCCCUGUCUCUACAAAAUUCUAAAAAAAUUAGCCGGGUGUGGUGGUGUGUGCCUGUAGUCCCAGCUAUUCUAGAGGCUGAGGCGGGAGGAUUGCUUGAGCCCAGGAGUUUGAGGCUGCAGUGAGCUAUGAUUAUGCCCCUGCACAUCAGCCUGGGUGAUAGAUUGAGGCCCCAUCUCUAAAAAUAACAAUACUAAUAAUAAAUAAAAAUGAAAAUGAGUACCUGU
rnacentral:lncRNA from 1 species